rnacentral:rRNA from 1 species
CCGUGCCGUGCNCGCUCCGUCGUCCUUCAUUUCUCCAUCUAUCUUGUGCAUCGCUCGCGUCGACCUUAUGUGGGGACUGCUUUGCAAAAAAUCUUGCGGGCUUUCCUUGUNGUUCUUUUGGGUCUGCGGUUUAUUAUCUUCACACAUAUGUAUUCAGAAGGGAACAAUGGAAUGGCAUAAUACAACUUUCAGCAACGGAUCUCUUGGCUCUCGCAUCGAUGAAGAACGCAGCGAAAUGCGAUAAGUAAUGUGAAUUGCAGAAUUCAGUGAAUCAUCGAAUCUUUGAACGCAUCUUGCGCUCCUCGGUAUUCCGAGGAGCAUGCCUGUUUGAGUGUCAUUAAUAUCUCAACCAACGCUGAGGCGCUGGCUUGGACUUGGGGGUGGUGCAGGCUGUGGUCUGCUCCCCUGAAAUACAUGAGUGGCGAAACGACCUCUCUGUCUUAGGUGUGAUACACACAUAUCUGCAUCUGAUACGAGGGCCUUUGCUGCCGUACGAAUUGNNAGCUUUUGUUGAUUAAACUUGACCUCNAAUCAGGUAGGACCACCCGCUGAACUUAAGCAUA